rnacentral:rRNA from 1 species
GACGAACGCUGGCGGCGUGCUUAACACAUGCAAGUCGAACGGAAAGGCCCUGCUUUUGUGGGGUGCUCGAGUGGCGAACGGGUGAGUAACACGUGAGUAACCUGCCCUUGACUUUGGGAUAACUUCGGGAAACUGGGGCUAAUACCGGAUAGGAGCUCCUGCUGCAUGGUGGGGGUUGGAAAGUUUCGGCGGUUGGGGAUGGACUCGCGGCUUAUCAGCUUGUUGGUGGGGUAGUGGCUUACCAAGGCUUUGACGGGUAGCCGGCCUGAGAGGGUGACCGGCCACAUUGGGACUGAGAUACGGCCCAGACUCCUACGGGAGGCAGCAGUGGGGAAUAUUGCACAAUGGGCGGAAGCCUGAUGCAGCAACGACGCGUGCGGGAUGACGGCCUUCGGGUUGUAAACCGCUUGCGCCUGUGACGAAGCGUGAGUGACGGUAAUGGGUAAAGAAGCACCGGCUAACUACGUG